GACGAACGCUGGCGGCGUGCUUAACACAUGCAAGUCGUACGGUAAGGCCCUUUCGGGGGUACACGAGUGGCGCACGGGUGAGUAACACGUGAGUAACCUGCCCACAACUUUGGGAUAACGCUAGGAAACUGGGGCUAAUACUGGAUAUGUGCCCCUGCUGCAUGGUGGGGGUUGGAAAGCUCCGGCGGUUGUGGAUGGACUCGCGGCCUAUCAGCUUGUUGGUGGGGUAGUGGGCUACCAAGGCGGCGACGGGUAGCCGGCCUGAGAGGGUGACCGGGCACAUUGGGACUGAGAUACGGCCCAGACCCCCACGGGAGGCAGCAGGGGGGAAUAUUGCACAAUGGGCGCCAGCCUGAUGGAGCAACGCCGCGGGCGGGAUGACGGCCUUCGGGUUGGAAACCGCUUUCAGCAGGGAAGAAGCUGUUUGUGACGGUACCUGCAGAAGAAGCACCGGCUAACUACGUG
rnacentral:rRNA from 1 species